GACGAACGCUGGCGGCGUGCUUAACACAUGCAAGUCGAACGGAAAGGCCUGCUUUCCCUUGUGGAUUGCGGUUACUCGAGUGGCGAACGGGUGAGUAACACGUGAGUGAUCUGCCCCCAACUUGGGUAUAAGCCUGGGAAACUGGGUCUAAUUCCCGAUAGGACUGCAGGGUGGUGCCUGUGGUGGAAAACGAUUUUCUAGUGGUUGGGGAUGAGCUCGCGGCCUAUCAGCUUGUUGGUGGGGUAAUGGCCUACCAAGGCGGCGACGGGUAGCCGGCCUGAGAGGGUGGACGGCCACAUUGGGACUGAGAUACGGCCCAGACUCCUACGGGAGGCAGCAGUGGGGAAUAUUACACAAUGGGCGGAAGCCUGAUGCAGCGACGCCGCGUGGGGGAUGACGGCCUUCGGGUUGUAAACUCCUUUCGACCGCGAGGAAGCCACCUGGUUGGAAGGGUGGUGACGGUAGUGGUAGAAGAAGCACCGGCUAACUACGUG
rnacentral:rRNA from 1 species